rnacentral:rRNA from 1 species
GACAGAGGAUGCAAGCGUUAUCCGGAAUGAUUGGGCGUAAAGCGUCUGUAGGUGGCUUUUUAAGUCCGCCGUCAAAUCCCAGGGCUCAACCCUGGACAGGCGGUGGAAACUACCAAGCUGGAGUACGGUAGGGGCAGAGGGAAUUUCCGGUGGAGCGGUGAAAUGCGUAGAGGAGACGGAAAGAACACCACGGAGAAGCACUCUGCUGGGCCGACACUGACACUGAGAGACGAAAGCUAGGGGAGCGAAUGGGAUUAGAAC